rnacentral:rRNA from 1 species
GAUUGAACGCUGGCGGCAGGCCUAACACAUGCAAGUCGAGCGGAUGAAGGGAGCUUGCUCCUGGAUUCAGCGGCGGACGGGUGAGUAAUGCCUAGGAAUCUGCCUGGUAGUGGGGGAUAACGUCCGGAAACGGGCGCUAAUACCGCAUACGUCCUGAGGGAGAAAGUGGGGGAUCUUCGGACCUCACGCUAUCAGAUGAGCCUAGGUCGGAUUAGCUAGUUGGGGGGGUAAAGGCCUACCAAGGCGACGAUCCGUAACUGGUCUGAGAGGAUGAUCAGUCACACUGGAACUGAGACACGGUCCAGACUCCUACGGGAGGCAGCAGUGGGGAAUAUUGGACAAUGGGCGAAAGCCUGAUCCAGCCAUGCCGCGUGUGUGAAGAAGGUCUUCGGAUUGUAAAGCACUUUAAGUUGGGAGGAAGGGCAGUAAGUUAAUACCUUGCUGUUUUGACGUUACCAACAGAAUAAGCACCGGCUAACUUCGUG